AGGAGGCCCAAGGAAGCUGAGAGCUGAAGGAGAACACGAGGUAGAGCAAAGCCCAGGACAGAAUAAUGAUGUAGGUCAUACAGUUAUAGAAGAGGAUUAGCUGUCCACCAAAGCCAAUCCCUGAAAGGCAUUUACAGAUGCCUGAACAGCUUACCUUGUGCUAGUGGGCAAAGCUUCCUCCAGCAGUAAACAAGCUGCCUGAGGACUGGAUACUAUUGAAUUCAAUGGAGCAGAGUCUCUACUUUGGAUGCUGGCAUCAGAUUUGAGGGAAUCAAGGUGCUGCAAAAUCCAAAAUACUUCAAAUAGAUGGAGAGCCCUGCUUGGCCUCACCUACAGAUGUCACCUCAAGUGAUAAAAUUAACAUUUCCCAGAGUACCAGUGGAGUGUGAAGUCACACUUUCAGUCUCAUUUCAGAGACUGUGAACUAGCAAUUUAUUUUGCUCAUGCUUUGCACAAUCAAUAUAAUCCUACAAGAUUAACACACAUUUUGGUUAGUUAAUGUAAAAUAAAUAUAUUAAAUGAAUUAAAC